CCUACGGGUGGCAGCAGUGAGGAAUAUUGGUCAAUGGCCGGAAGGCUGAACCAGCCAUGCCGCGUGAAGGUCAGUGCCCUAUGGGCGUUAAACUUCUUUUGUGCGGGAGCAAUAAUGGUCACGUGUGGCCAGACGAGAGUACCGUACGAAUAAGCAUCGGCUAACUCCGUGCCAGCAGCCGCGGUAAUACGGGGGAUGCAAGCGUUAUCCGGAUUUAUUGGGUUUAAAGGGUGCGUAGGCUGUGAGGUAAGUCAGCGGUGAAAUGCCCCCGCUCAACGGGGUGAAGUGCCAUUGAUACUGCCUGGCUGGAAUGCGGAUGCCGUGGGAGGAAUGUGUGGUGUAGCGGUGAAAUGCAUAGAUAGCACACAGAACACCGAUUGCGAAGGCAUCUCACGAAUCCGCGAUUGACGCUGAUGCACGAAAGCGUGGGUAUCAAACAGGAUUAGAUACCCUAGUAGUC
rnacentral:rRNA from 1 species